rnacentral:lncRNA from 1 species
AGGACCAUGGCUGUGGGCUGGACCAUGGCUGUGUUUGGAGGACCUUGUGUGUGAGUUGGAGGACCUUGGCUGUGACUUGGAGGACCACAGGAGUGGGUUGGAGGACCAUGUCCGUGGGUUGGAUGACCAUGGCUGUGUGUUGGAGGACCUCGGCUGUGGCUUGGAGGACCUUUUGUUUGGCUUGGAGGACCUCGGCUGUGGGUUGGAGGACUAUGUCCGUGGGUUGGAGGACUGUGGCUGUGGCUUGGAGGACCUUGGCUGUGGCUUGGAGGACCACAGCUGUAUUUGGAGCACCACAGCUGUGGGUUGGAGGACCACAGCUGUGGUUGGAGGACCUUGUGUGUGGGCUGGCAGACCAUGGCUGUGUUUGGAGGACCUUGUGUGUGCGUUGGAGGACCUCGGCUGUGACUUGGAGGACCACAGGAGUGGGUUGGAGGACCAUGUCCGUGGGUUGGAGGACCAUGGCUGUGUGUUGGAGGACCUCGGCUGUGGCCUGGAGGACCACAGCUGUGGUUGGGGGACCUUGUGUGUGGGUUGGAGGACCACGGCUGUGUGUUGGAGGACCUCGGCUGUGGCUUGGAGGACCUCGGCUGUGGCUUGGAGGACCUUUUGUGUGGCUCGGAGGACCAUGGCUGUGGGUUGGAGGACUAUGUCCGUGGGUUGGAGGACCAUGUCCGUGGGUUGGAGGACCACAGCUGUAUUUGGAGGACCUCGGCUGCGGCUUGGAGGACCUUGCGUGUGGUUCGGAGGACCGUUUCUAGGUGUUGGAGGACCUUUUGUGUGGCUCGGAGGACCGUGUCCGCGGUUUGGAUUCCCGCGGCUCAAGGGGGCGCUGUUCGUUCACAGCGGUGACGCGGAACUGCGGGCAGCUGCUGCUGGAGCUGUGCUCUGUGGUUCCGGACGGCGUCGUCGCCUUCUUUACCAGCUACGCCUACAUGGAGGCCUGCGUCGCCGCCUGGUACGAGCAGGUGCGACCCCACAGCGCCCCCUGCUGUCCGCACCGCGCUACUGCACCUUCCCCAUUGCGUCCCUAUAGCGGCCCUAUGGCGGCCCUAUGGCGGCCCCACGGUGGCCCCAUAUCCCCACAUCUCCCCGUAUCCCCGUAAUGUCCCCCCAUAACCCCACACCGCCCCCAUUGUCC